UUUUCACGGAUUUUUUUUUAUUCCAGGGAAUAGACUUUACACAAUUUCAGAUAUUUUCUUUUAUUUCUCACCUAUCUAACAGAAGGUAUAAUAGACUGUACACAUUUUCUGUU